AUGUGCGCAGCCAGGCGUCUCGCAGCGGCGCUCCCUCGACUGCGAGCACAGCACCGCGCCUCCUCCUCCGCCGCCUCCCCACCCGCUCCCACCCCUUCCGCCGCCUCCGUCCUCGACGACCUCCUCUCCGCGCCCACCCCUUCCGCCUCCGCCCUCUCCCUCCUCCGCGACACGCCCUCCCUCUCCGCCGAGCUCUACUCCACCCUCGCCGCGCCCUCCCACGCCCUCACCCCCGCCUCCCUCGCGCUCCUCCUCUCCCUUCCCUCAUGCCACCGCCUCCCGCCCCCCUCCGCGCCCAUCCUCUCCGCCCUCUUAUCCAAGAUCCUCGCGCGUCGUCCCUCCUCUCCCGUCCAAGCCGCCGGCUUCCUCUGUGCCUCCCUCGCCGCUGGCGCCCCGCCGCCAGAGACUUCUGUUUUCAACAAGCUCCUAGCCCCGCUCGCUCGCGCCGGAGACCUCCCGAGAAUGACCCAGCUCUUCUCCUCCAUGCGGGCCGCCACUGUCAGGCCUGACGCCGUCACCUACGGCAUACUCGUCAAUGGCCUCUGCAAAUCUGGCCGCGUGGGGGACGCCCUCAGGAUGCUCGAUGGAAUGUCUGGUUCAGACUCGGACGUUCGCCCGGAUGUUGUCACGGUGAACACAGUCGUGAACGGUUUGUGCAAGAGUGGGAGGGUCCAAGAGGCUGUGACAUUUGUGGAGGAGCGGAUGAGGAGUGUGCAUGGACAUGCACCCGACACAUUUUCUUACAACUGCUUGGCCGAUGCAUUUUGCCGUGUGGGGAAUGUUGCCAUGGCGUGUGAGGUGAUUGGGAGGAUGGAGAGGGAGGGCCUGUCACCGGAUGUCUUCACUCUGAACAUGAUUGUGGUCGCCUUGUGCCGGGUAGGGAGGGUUUGGGCUGCGCUGGAGUUCUUCAGGGAGAAAAGAACAAUUUGGCCUGAAGCCAGGGGCAACGCUGUGACCUACAGCACUCUGGUUCAGGCUUUGCUCAGCACUAAAAAUGUGGAUGUGGCCAUGGAGUUGUUCCAUGAGAUGAAAGAAGUAUGGCAACCACCAAAGAAAACCAUGUAUUUCAUCAUGACGUUGGGAUUGGCACAAGCAGGGCGGUUGCAGGAUGCUUGCUCCAUGGCGUCAUCGAUGAAGAAGGCAGGCUUUCAGCUGGAUGCAAAAGCAUACAAUAUUUUGAUUGGUGGGUUUUGUAGGGAGAACAGACUGUGUGAGGCUCAUGAGUGGCUUGGGAAGAUGAAGGAAGCUGGUCUCCGGCCAGAUGUGUACACCUACACUACCUUGUUGUCUGGUUCGUGCAAAGCAGGAGAUUUCUUGGCUGUGGAUGAAUUGAUGGGGAAAAUGAUCGAUGAUGGUUGCCGGCCUUCUGUGGUCACCUUUGGUACACUUAUACAUGGAUAUUGCAAAGCUGGUAAAAUAGAUGAGGCGUUGCACAUUUUCCGGUCUAUGGAUGAAUCUGGUGUUCAGCCCAACACUGUGAUAUACAAUAUUCUGAUCGACUUUCUCUGCAAGAGCAGAAAUGUUAGUUUAGCAAUUAAACUGUUUGAUUGGAUGAGCGAGAAGCAUGUGCCCGCAGACGUAACAACCUUCAAUGCAUUGCUGAAGGGACUUCGCGAUAAGAAUAUGCCGGAGAAGGCCUUUGAACUGAUGGACAGGAUGAGGGAAGAGAGGUGCACCCCUGAUUCCUUGACCAUUGAAGUUCUCCUUGAAUGGCUGCCUGGCAUUGGUGAAACAAAUAGAUUAAAUAAUUUUAUGCAGCAAGUGGGGUGUACGGCACCGAAAAGGACAACUACAUAA
rnacentral:rRNA from 1 species